UCCAACGUUAAUCGGGGCAGGGUGAGUCGACCCCUAAGGCGAGGCCGAAAGGCGUAGUCGAUGGGAAACAGGUUAAUAUUCCUGUACUUGGUGUUACUGCGAAGGGGGGACGGAGAAGGCUAUGUUGGCCGGGCGACGGUUGUCCCGGUUUAAGCGUGUAGGCUGGUUUUCCAGGCAAAUCCGGAAAAUCAAGGCCGAGGCGUGAUGACGAGGCACUACGGUGCUGAAGCAACAAAUGCCCUGCUUCCAGGAAAAGCCUCUAAGCAUCAGGUAACAUCAAAUCGUACCCCAAACCGACACAGGUGGUCAGGUAGAGAAUACCAAGGCGCUUGAGAGAACUCGGGUGAAGGAACUAGGCAAAAUGGUGCCGUAACUUCGGGAGAAGGCACGCUGAUACGUAGGUGAAGCGACUUGCUCGUGGAGCUGAAAUCAGUCGAAGAUACCAGCUGGCUGCAACUGUUUAUUAAAAACACAGCACUGUGCAAACACGAAAGUGGACGUAUACGGUGUGACGCCUGCCCGGUGCCGGAAGGUUAAUUGAUGGGGUUAGCGCAAGCGAAGCUCUUGAUCGAAGCCCCGGUAAACGGCGGCCGUAACUAUAACGGUCCUAAGGUAGCGAAAUUCCUUGUCGGGUAAGUUCCGACCUGCACGAAUGGCGUAAUGAUGGCCAGGCUGUCUCCACCCGAGACUCAGUGAAAUUGAACUCGCUGUGAAGAUGCAGUGUACCCGCGGCAAGACGGAAAGACCCCGUGAACCUUUACUAUAGCUUGACACUGAACAUUGAGCCUUGAUGUGUAGGAUAGGUGGGAGGCUUUGAAGUGUGGACGCCAGUCUGCAUGGAGCCGACCUUGAAAUACCACCCUUUAAUGUUUGAUGUUCUAACGUGGACCCGUGAUCCGGGUUGCGGACAGUGUCUGGUGGGUAGUUUGACUGGGGCGGUCUCCUCCUAAAGAGUAACGGAGGAGCACGAAGGUUGGCUAAUCCUGGUCGGACAUCAGGAGGUUAGUGCAAUGGCAUAAGCCAGCUUGACUGCGAGCGUGACGGCGCGAGCAGGUGCGAAAGCAGGUCAUAGUGAUCCGGUGGUUCUGAAUGGAAGGGCCAUCGCUCAACGGAUAAAAGGUACUCCGGGGAUAACAGGCUGAUACCGCCCAAGAGUUCAUAUCGACGGCGGUGUUUGGCACCUCGAUGUCGGCUCAUCACAUCCUGGGGCUGAAGUAGGUCCCAAGGGUAUGGCUGUUCGCCAUUUAAAGUGGUACGCGAGCUGGGUUUAGAACGUCGUGAGACAGUUCGGUCCCUAUCUGCCGUGGGCGCUGGAGAACUGAGGGGGGCUGCUCCUAGUACGAGAGGACCGGAGUGGACGCAUCACUGGUGUUCGGGUUGUCAUGCCAAUGGCACUGCCCGGUAGCUAAAUGCGGAAGAGAUAAGUGCUGAAAGCAUCUAAGCACGAAACUUGCCCCGAGAUGAGUUCUCCCUGACCCUUUAAGGGUCCUGAAGGAACGUUGAAGACGACGACGUUGAUAGGCCGGGUGUGUAAGCGCAGCGAUGCGUUGAGCUAACCGGUACUAAUGAACCGUGAGGCUUAACCUUACAACGCCGAAG
rnacentral:rRNA from 1 species